rnacentral:lncRNA from 1 species
CAAAGAGUCUGACACGACUGAGCGACUGAACUGAACUGAACUGAACAUAACAUUAUGGAUAUGAAUCAUCUACCUUGGAAAUAGGGAUUGUUAACCAGAUCUGUCAACUGGGCCUAUGCAUACCCAGUCAGCUCCCCACUGCCUUCCCUACGUUUCCCUGGCAGUGAGUAAGAGAACCACCAACUUAAAAAUCCAUGCUUUGGAAUUCCAUGAACUCCUGUAA